rnacentral:tRNA from 9 species
GUCCCCGUAGUUCAACGGACAGAACAAGGGUUUCCUAAACCCUAAAUCUCAGUUCGAUUCUGAGCGGGGACA